UACGGAGGGUGCAAACGUUGCUCGGAAUCAUUGGGCGUAAAGCGCGCGUAGGCGGCCUUCUAAGUCUUGUGUGAAAUCCCUCGGCUCAACUGAGGAACUGCACGGGAUACUGGAUGGCUUGAGUUCGGGAGAGGGAAGCGGAAUUCCGGGUGUAGCGGUGAAAUGCGUAGAUAUCAAGAGGAACACCUGAGGUGAAGACGGGUUGCUGGGCUAACACUGACGCUCAUGCACGAAAGCGUGGGGAGCAAACAGG
rnacentral:rRNA from 1 species